rnacentral:lncRNA from 1 species
GGGAUUAUACUUGGUAGUUAUUGUUGUUGUUGUUGUAAAGGUAAAGCGAACAUAAGUACUCAUAUUGAACUGAAAGAGGAUUGUGUGAUUCCUCUUUCCUUUUAUUACUAUAGAGAUACCAGAUACCACAUUGAAUAGUCAACAAUUGUUCAACGGUUUAAAAGGUUACAGAUAUAUCUCAGACUCGGCAAAACUUUAUUAGGUAUUCCUAGUAGGUGGAACCAGAUAGUUAUCUUGUUGAUUUUGCGCUUCCUAAUGUUCUUCGUAUAAUACAUGAGCUUAUUUUUCUUAAAGUAUGUGUGAUUUUUUACCACUGCCCUUAUAACAGUGUUUCAGAAUUUUAUCGUCCAACUUAAAACAGAUAACCAGGAAAUCUUCCAGAUCAGAGGCAUCUCUAGUUUUUAAGACAAUGUGGGAGAACUUCACUCAGACAAAAAGUUGAAGAUCAAGAGAGACAAAUGUCUACCGAUGGUUCAUUAUUUCUAAAGGUACUGGGCAAAAACAAUUGAAAGGAGAAAGGGUUUAUGACUUGCAGGGACAAUCAGGGCACACCACAGAAAAAGGAGGAAAAUCACAUCAGAAAACACAGAGAGAGUUAACAACCUACUUCCAGUAUUAUAAAGAGGCACCAAAGCAAUUAAAGAACAUAUAACCUGUUAAGAUAAUGCGAAGACCAUUCAGAAACAAACCAUUCCUUCGACAUUUAUGAAAAAGGAAGAAAAAAGAAGAGGAAAACUAGUCACUGAACAAAAGAUUGUCGCAAAGGAGACUUAUCUCCAGAUAGUUUUGCACUGACCUGCAUUAUGAUGGAACUUGCUCGUACACCACAUUGCAAACUUCAUAAUUCAACAACAACAACAACUACCCAGUAUAGUCCCACAAAGUGGGGUCUGGGGAGGGUAAUAUCCCCAGACCCAUAUGUGUCUCAGAUUCGAGCACCCACAGCUCAACAACAACAACAACAACUACGCAGUAUAGUCCCACAAAGUGGGGUGUGGGGAGGGUAAUAUGUAGACGGGUCUUACCCCUACCCGAACGGGCAGAAAGGCUGUCUCCAAUCGACCCUCGACUCAGUGAAGGAAAGAAAAAACAAAAACAAAAACAAAAACAAAAGAGCAUUAGUAACUCUAGCAGAAAUAGAGUAAAUAAUUAUCUAAACAUAAAAACCAUAAAUAAAAUAGCAUGCAAUAAUAUCAGAAAGUAACUACCAUAAAUAACUACCAUAAGNUAACUCCAACAGAAAUAGCGUAAAUAAUUAUCUAAACAUAAGAACC